GAUUGGGUUGGAAGGAGGGGGGGGGAGGGGGGAGGGAGCCGAGGCGCACAGCUUGGCUCUGCACUGCCGUGUGACUAGAAAUUGUAAUCGCGGAGAAAGCGAGCGAGGGACAGACGGAGCCCGGCCGAGGGAGACCGAGACGGACGGACCGACGGACAGAGAAUCUGACCGAGACGCGCUCCCCGACCGACCUAUGAGCGGGUGAUGGGGGA
rnacentral:lncRNA from 1 species